CCAGCUAGGCUCUGUUACAGUUACACCUCUAGGUUAGUGUCUCUGCACGUUCUUUUGACACUUGCACCUGAGUAUAGGAGGCUGCGUUAUCCACUUGAGAGCUGUGCGUGAAUCCACUGUCACGGAGCUAAAGGCAGAGAAUUCUGCUAAAAUGGUCAGGUUUUGGUAAAGAGUUGGAAACAUCGCGCGGAGAUCCUUUCCACGGAAUGAUACAGAUCCCCACGUUCCAGGCGUUCUUCCAGAGAUUCGUAGAUUCCCAGUCUGGGUGGCGAGCCAAACGUGUUUGUGACUGACUUUAGACGGGUUGCCAGGAUCAUCAUCUUCAUCUUCAUGGUGGUAGGACAAACACUAAUACGAACUAAAAAGGGCCCAACGUUGGUAACUGAACUCUUGUCAACAAAGGCAAGUGAAACUGAGGACGAACUGAGCUCAAGGGAAUUUAAAAGGGGAUUUAUUUACGUGCGCACUUUAUUAUUUUAGUUUGUUAUUUUUUCAUAACUUUUUGUAUAUGUAUGUACCAGCCCUGUGUAUGUAAUACAUUUUAUGCAAACUGUCAUUCUGGUGUGGUAUUCUUUUUAUUGACCUUCAAUUCUCAGGCUCUUAACAAUUUAGCAUCUUCUGAUUCUGGUCCAAACUCAUAUUACUGAUAACCUCUAAGACUUCUUUAGACUACUACACCUAUGUACAUUCUUACUACUUCGUAAUAAGGGUUACAAAUGUAUCUCCCAGGACACCUUAAACCUCACACAAGUGGAGAGGUAUGCAAACCAUGCGCAGAAGCUCCUACGAGACGCAAAGGACAGAAAGACAGAGAAGAGGAGAAAAGACCUACACACAGCCACACUAACCAUGUUACAAGCUGUUAGCGUGCAGCCCCAGCGGACACAACAACCCGGAGGCAGAGGAAGAGGUGCGCCAUACAGAGGAAAGCCAAAGGGCCGUGGGCGAGGAAGACCCGGCCGCCACGGCUAUGGACCAGGAUUAAACUGUUACAACUGCGGAAAAGUUGGAUAUUUUGCAAGAGACUGUCCAGAGCAGAAGCGAACUGACGGGCGGAGUUAAGGGAAGGGUGAGGCACCUGGGAACAGAAGAGGUGACAUCAGACACUCAAACUUUCAGUUAGCUCACAAAGAACAGAAAUAUACGCACACACCCACAUCCAACAUUAGUCAGACUGACAAUUCACAAAUGUCUGAACCAGUCAUGACUCUUAACCUUUUAAAGUAUAAUGCCUCUCCUUUUACACAGUUACCAUGUAUAUCUCUUGUAGUUAAUGGGCAAAGUAUCACAUUUUUGGUAAGAUUCAGGAGCAACGUAUUCAGUAAUAAAACUAUCCCCGAAAACGAGUUCAGUCACUGCACUCCAUGGGUGCAACAGGACAUUCAGUAUUAGACCUAAUUUCGUCUUCAUGCCCAUUUAGUCUACUGGGCAGGGACUUAAUGUGUGUUUUACACUUAAAUUUUAUGUCCUCAACUCAGGGAGUAAUAAUAACUGAGGACUCAUCUUUGGGAACUCCAUUUGUUAAAGAAACAGAGCUCUGUGUUUAUCAAUGGUUCAUGCAUAACGAGCCUGUGCUCGUUUGUUGACGUUGGCUUAUGAUAAGAUGAAGGACAACUAUGUUGAUUUUAUGCUGUCCUCUGCCCUUCAUUGUGCUGUGCAAGUGCAUGAAGGAAGAGACUUUAAUUUUGAGAAAGAAUGGUUUAAGGAUAUCCCAGAAAGUGAAGAGCUGUACCUAUAUUGAUGUGACAAAUUUUGUGCACGUUCAGUCAAACUGAGUGACACACAGUUGCGUGCAUUUUUCAUCCCAGAAUCAGCGCCCCACGUCUCAUUAGCCAAAAUAAUGAACAAACAGUAGAAAGAUGUGGGACCGUGGGUCAGAUUAUUGGUUUUCAGUCAUAGAUUUAGCUAAUGCAUUUUUUCAGUACAUCUCUUGAUAAAGACAAUCAGUUUCGGUUUGCAUUCAUAUUUGACGGACAUCCUUACACUUUCACUCACUUGUGUUAGGGAUAUUGUGAGGCACUAAUGAUAUACAACCAAUUGCUAAAGGACAGCUUAGCACCUCUACCACUUUCUCAAGGGCGCAGUGUGAAACUGACACCAUUAAAUUGUUGCAGCAUCUUGCCAAAGAGGGACACAAAGCCAGUCUCUCCCAAUUAAAGUAUGUACAACAAGAAGUGAGAUUUCUGAGGCAUGACAUUUCUGCAAAGGGAAAGAAUCUCUCCACUGAAAGAGUAUCUGCAAUCCACACGUCACCGCACACGAGACGGUCUGCCAGGAAGUCUCCCCUCAAGCAUUUCAGCACAAGCAGCAGAACUGUAUGCCCUCAUAGAGGCAUGAAGACAUGCUGAGGGACAGUCAGUAAAUAUCUACACAGACAGUAGAUAUGCCUUUGAGGUAGUACAUGAUUUUGGAACAAUUUGGAAACACAGGAACUUUCUGACGAUUUCUGGAACACACAAAACCCACCACAAACUAGUCUCUGAGCUGCUGGAUGUAGUCCUACUCCCCAAAAUUAUUGCAGUAUGCAAAUGUGAUUCACACACUAACAAAUUAGACCAUGUUUCCUAGGAAAGCUCGAGCAGACAGUACAGCAAAGCAAGCAGCUGCAUCUAUGGUCCCAAAACUCAAAAGAAAAUAAUCACUCCUUUACAGCUUUCAGACCUUCAGGCACAAGCUACGGUGGAGGAAAAGGCUGUGUGGCGCAAAGCAGGCUGCAUGGUUGUUGAUGGAGUUUGCCGGUGCCCACAGGGCUGUCCUUGUCUUCAAAGUUGACGCAUGGCAGGGAUCAUAAGUCAAAAGGGGGAAUGAUAGCUGUGAUAAAGCAUUGGUUUCUCUAAUUACUCUAAAAAAAUAAUAGUAAUUGUUUACGCUGUUUGCGCAACUCAUAACGUGGUUUGAAGGUUUGAAGAUAGAGAAGGCCAUGUCCCUACGUUCAAAGAGGACUCAGAUGCGGUAGUGAUAAUGAUAAUCUCCAGUGAUGAUGGCACACCUUUUGUGAACCAUGCCCUUAAGUAGGUUAGUGAAUAUUUGGGCAUUGAUCUGAAACAACAUUGUGCAUACCAUCCGGCUAGUGGUGGGGCAGUGUAACGGGAGAAUGGAACUCUAAAGAAUAAAUUGAGUAAGUGCUGCGUUGAUACAGGUUUAGGGUGGACCAAGGUUUUACCUGUUGUAGUAAUGCAGAUGAGAAUGAGAAAGAGACGCAAGCAUGGGCUCAGUCCUUUUGAAAUCCUAUUCGGGCAGCCUCCACACACAGGAAUUGGGCCUGUGACAGUUCCUCUUCCUGAUGCAGCAACAUGUGAUGAUGCUAUGUUAAGUUACUGUGCAACCCUGUCCUCUGCUCUGCACUCUAUUCACAAGCAGGUAAAGGCAGCUCUUCCAGCUCCAGCCACGGGUCCGCUGCAUGAUCUGAAGCCCGGGGAGUGGAUCAUGAUCAAGGACUUCCACAGGAUCAGGUGGAACAAGCCACGGUGGUCUGGGCUAUUGCAGGUUCUCUUUGUCACUCAUUCAGCAGGGAAAGUCAACCAGAGAGCCACAUGGAUGCGUGAGAGCCACUGCAGGAGAGUGCCAGAGCUGAGCAAUGCGCUGGAGAAGACGGGACUUCGACAGAAGGACUAGAAAGUGAUUCUCUAUCAAGAGGCCUCUAGGAGGACCAACGCUCACGAGCAUAUAUCUGCAUAUAGACACCCACACACACGACACACUGCACUCAAACACACAUUCUCGCGCCAGUUCCUUGUGGUUACAUAACACAAGACCCCAAGUGGUAUCUAGUAGCCUGGGAAAUCACAGACAUGUAGUUUUUGGAGAAAAUGUUGACGACACGGAAACUGUACUCUUAGGAGGACUGAACUUCCAUUAGUGUGUACUAUAUAGCGACGUGUCCAGGACAGAGGUUAGAUGACGUGACUUUGCUACCGUACCUCUUACACCCCAAAGCUCCCUGACCACAGACUACUGUUGCAGACUAGACACAAAUCAUUAGAUGUCAACCUGCACAUCCACUCAUACAUUCAAACCUAUUCCUAAUCAUGUACCCUUCCCCUGGUAUAGGUGGUAUCUGUUAGUAAGCCCUGUCAUAGAAAUAAACUCACAAAUCACUGACUGUUCCCGACAACACUGGGGGUCCACACAACGUCACCUCAUCACGCAGACACAUGUUUAUUCUAUCAUUGAACAUAUGCGCUCUGCGAUAUGCAACCCUCCACAGACUAGCGAGAUGGGGUUUGAUUGGCUGAACUCAGGGGAUGGGGCUCAUGGAUAUUAACCUUUGUCUACCAAUAGGAGCAAUAAUUCUUCUUGUCUUGCUCAUUUUGUCUUGUAUUGUUUCUCUCGUUCGGCGCAUUUUGCCUUGUAUUGUUUCUCUCACUCGUUGAAAUCACUAAUGACCAAACGCUGAUGUUGACAAAGACUGAUUACUAUCCCUAUGAUGACCAACCUGACUUGUAUCCUAAACCUGACUGGGUAUCAGAUUCUCUCAGCGACACUGACGAUGAUGACCCAUUGACAUACAUUUCACACCUAUUGUAACUAUUCCCUUGACCAUGACGAUUCAUUUAUGUCCGCAGAAACAGCCUUAGCACCUUCAUUAUGUCUGUAUAAUGUUGAACAGUGAAAGGAUUCUGCAGUUCUGAUGUAUUCACAUCAUUGUAAUUUCUCUGUUAUUUUAGUUAUCAUAUUUUGUAAUGAUAAAAUGGGGGAAAUGUGAGGGAAAUUACUAAUUUUUACUUUGUAAUAAGUUUGUUCUUGUUCUGUUUCAUUUUCAUGUCAGGUUAAUGCCUAAGAAGGCCAUGUCAUGUCACUGAGAUCAGUGCAGAAUAUUUAUCUGCUUACAGAGACACAAACAUGUUCUUCUGUUCAAGGUUCGUCUAAACAGCUUCCAAGAUCCUAAAACAAAGCCUUUUUGAACUGCCUCAAACUGCUUCUUAUCGGUAUACAGAAUUAUGUCAUGCUCUGCGUUUCACAUAUAUAGUAGUGGUUUAGUACAAGGGCUUCAGAGCGCUCACAUUUUUCUAUCUUGCUUUAUUCUAUCUUGUAUUAACCAUCUUUCUGUAAUAAACCUUUUUGCCUUCA